rnacentral:rRNA from 1 species
ACUCCUACGGGAGGCAGCAGUAGGGAAUCUUCCACAAUGGGCGGCAAGCCUGAUGGAGCAACACCGCGUGAGUGAAGAAGGGUUUCGGCUCGUAAAGCUCUGUUGUUAAAGAAGAACACGUAUGAGAGUAACUGUUCAUACGUUGACGGUAUUUAACCAGAAAGUCACGGCUAACUACGUGCCAGCAGCCGCGGUAAUACGUAGGUGGCAAGCGUUAUCCGGAUUUAUUGGGCGUAAAGAGAGUGCAGGCGGUUUUCUAAGUCUGAUGUGAAAGCCUUCGGCUUAACCGGAGAAGUGCAUCGGAAACUGGAUAACUUGAGUGCAGAAGAGGUAGUGGAACUCCAUGUGUAGCGGUGGAAUGCGUAGAUAUAUGGAAGAACACCAGUGGCAAAGGCGGCGUACCUGGUCUGCAACUGACGCUGAGACUCGAAAGCAUGGGUA